rnacentral:rRNA from 1 species
GUCCACGCCCUAAACGAUGUCGACUGGUUGUUGGGGGUUUGACACUCUCAGUAACGAAGCUAACGCGUGAAGUCGACCGCCUGGGGAGUACGGCCGCAAGGUUAAAACUCAAAGGAAUUGACGGGGACCCGCACAAGCGGUGGAUUAUGUGGAUUAAUUCGAUGCAACGCGAAAAACCUUACCUACCCUUGACAUGUCCUGGAGGUCCCUGAGAGGGGACUGUGCCCGAAAGGGAACGGGAACACAGGUGCUGCAUGGCUGUCGU